GCAGCCUCAGGUUAGAGGGACACUUAUACCCAUAUCCGAUCAGAGCAAUCCUUGACUGUUGAGAGUUGAUUUCUCAAGAUUCGAUCUACAUUGAGCCUACAGUGAGAUCCAAGAUGACGAACGGAGUCUAAUGAGUCCAAGAACAGUCCAAACAGAGUCCAGAUGGCAAAGAUACAUGCGAAAGAAGAUUGAAAUAGAUGGCACGAUGCACGAGGUGGC
rnacentral:lncRNA from 1 species